AGCAAAGAACUCGCUCAAGCCAAAGAAAAGACGCUCAAGCCAAAGUUCCAGGAAGAAUCUCGCUCAAGCGAGAUGGAAUUUCGCUCAAGCGAAAUUUAGGCGGCAGAAAGUCUAUAUAUAGUCUGAAACAGGGCAGAACCAAAGGAGCUCGAAUUUUCCAUCUUUUCUUCAUUUUUCUUCACUUCCAGACCUUAGAAACAGGGGAG
rnacentral:lncRNA from 1 species